rnacentral:rRNA from 1 species
UAGNGAAUGUCCGCAAUGGGCGAAAGCNNGACGGAGCAACGCCGNUGAGUGAAGAAGGACUUCGGUUGGUAAAGCUCUGUUCUUAGGGAAGAAUGAUUGUGUAGUAACUAUACACAGUAGAGACGGUACCUAACCAGAAAGCCACGGUCAACUACGUGCCAGCAGCCGCGGUAAUACGUAGGUGGCAAGCGUUGUCCGGAAUUAUUGGGCAUAAAGCGCGCGCAGGUGGUUUAAUAAGUCUGAUGUGAAAGCCCACGGCUCCACCGUGGAGGGUCAUUGGAAACUGUUAAACUUGAGUGCAGGAGAGAAAAGUGGAAUUCCUAGUGUAGCGGUGAAAUGCGUAGAGAUUAGGAGGAACACCAGUGGCGAAGGCGGCUUUUUGGCCCGUAACUGACACUGAGGCGCGAAAGCGUGGGGAGCAAACAGGAUUAGAUACCCUGGUAGUCCACGCCGUAAACGAUGAGUCAUAAGUGUUGGUCUCUUAAGAGAUCAUUGUUGCAGCUAACGCAUUAAUCACUCCGCCUGGGGAGCACGACCGCAAGGCG